UGGUAUUCCUAUACAUUGCAUUCCAUAAGAACACACACACACAUUACAUCCUCUACAAUAACACAUAACACAUCCCCUACACACAUACACUCCACUCUCUGUGAGCGAACUAAUGGGUGGGCCUUGUAGGCAUCAGGCUUAUGGCCAGGCCCAAACCGUGAUCUGUGUAAGGUGCCUCAAAAAUAGAGCUUGUUUUAACACCAGACCAGUGAAGCCAGACUGCAGCCUG